rnacentral:rRNA from 1 species
AGGAACGCGUAGGGAUUUAUCGUUGGGUGGGGGAUAACCGCGGGAAACUGCGGCUAACACCGCAUGACGCCUGAGGGCCAAAGCCGUGCAAGCGGCGCCUGAUGAGAAGCCUGCGUCCGAUUAGCUAGUAGGUUGGGUAAUGGCUGACCUAGGCUGUGAUCGGUAGCUGGUCUGAGAGGAUGAUCAGCCACACUGGGACUGAGACACGGCCCAG